GACGAACGCUGGCGGCGUGCUUAACACAUGCCAGUCGAACGGAAAGGCCCUGCUUUUGUGGGGUGCUCGAGUGGCGAACGGGUGAGUAACACGUGAGUAACCUGCCCUUGACUUUGGGAUAACUUCAGGAAACUGGGGCUAAUACCGGAUAGGAGCUCCUGCUGCAUGGUGGGGGUUGGAAAGUUUCGGCGGUUGGGGAUGGACUCGCGGCUUAUCAGCUUGUUGGUGGGGUAGUGGCUUACCAAGGCUUUGACGGGUAGCCGGCCUGAGAGGGUGACCGGCCACAUUGGGACUGAGAUACGGCCCAGACUCCUACGGGAGGCAGCAGUGGGGAAUAUUGCACAAUGGGCAGAAGCCUGAUGCAGCAACGCCGCGUGCGGGAUGACGGCCUUCGGGUUGUAAACCGCUUUCGCCUGUGACGAAGCGUGAGUGACGGUAAUGGGUAAAGAAGCACCGGCUAACUACGUA
rnacentral:rRNA from 1 species